CAUGCAAGUCGAGGGGUAACAGGGAGAGCUUGCUUUCUGCUGACGACCGGCGCACGGGUGCGUAACGCGUAUACAAUCUACCUUAUACUGGGGUAUAGCCUUUAGAAAUGAAGAUUAAUCCCCCAUAGUCUCUUUUUGUGGCAUCACUAAAGGAGUAAAGGUUACGGUAUAAGAUGAGUAUGCGUUCUAUUAGUUUGUUGGUGUGGUAACGGCACACCAAGACUACGAUAGAUAGGGGCCCUGAGAGGGGGAUCCCCCACACUGGUACUGAGACACGGACCAGACUCCUACGGGAGGCAGCAGUGAGGAAUAUUGGACAAUGGAGGCAACUCUGAUCCAGCCAUGCCGCGUGUAGGAUGACUGCCCUAUGGGUUGUAAACUACUUUUAUACAGGAAGAAACACCUCUACGUGUAGAGGCUUGACGGUACUGUAAGAAUAAGGAUCGGCUAACUCCGUGCCAGCAGCCGCGGUAAUACGGAGGAUCCAAGCGUUAUCCGGAAUCAUUGGGUUUAAAGGGUCCGUAGGUUGAUAAUUAAGUCAGAGGUGAAAUCUUGCAGCUCAACUGUAAAAUUGCCUUUGAUACUGAUUAUCUUGAGUUAUUAUGAAGUAGUUAGAAUAUGUAGUGUAGCGGUGAAAUGCAUAGAUAUUACAUAGAAUACCAAUUGCGAAGGCAGAUUACUAAUAAUCAACUGACACUGAUGGACGAAAGCGUGGGUAGCGAACAGGAUUAGAUACCCUGGUAGUCCACGCCGUAAACGAUGGUUACUAGCUGUGUGGAUUUCGGUCUGCGUGGCUAAGCGAAAGUGAUAAGUAACCCACCUGGGGAGUACGUUCGC
rnacentral:rRNA from 1 species